UUUUGGUCUAUCAAAAGGAAGCUAAGGGAAGCAUUACCUUUCACAGAGGGUGGGAUACAAGUCCAAAAGGAGGAGCAAGUGUGACAAAGACUCUUCAUUUCCCUUGGGCAUGCCAGGCAUCAUCCCUAUGUGUAGGAUCACUGUAGCUGUGCGCACUGCUUGCUGUUUCCUGACAUGACAGCCUGUCUUCUGUCAUCAAGGUCUAGACAAGAUCCGCACUUAAGUUUAUGGCAAAAAAUAAUCUUAAGAAAAAUGACACUGAACUGCAUAAAUCUUGAUUUCAAAUUAAUGUUUGUGGAGGAAGGGAGUAUGGUACAGCAGAACUUGAUGGCAUGUUUGGGGUUUUUUUUCCAACCAAUAAUGCACUUCUUAUGUGCUUAUUUCUUCUGAGCAAUUAAAGAUUGCAUGGGACAGCUGGUGAAAUGAAAGAGGAGUUAAAGGCAUACGUUAUAUCUUCAUUUUCCUCUAUCAGCAGAACAAUGAACUCUGAAACUCCUUAGGUUUUCAUGCAUAUUAUCUUUGUUACAUAGGAUGCUACCUGUUUUGGGGGGUUUUUAACCACUCUGUUUUCUAAAAAUUCACUUUCCCCUGCCCGGGGAAAGUAAUUCAUAAAUAACACCUUAGCACUUAAAGAACAUUUGUCAUCUUUGAUGCUGGUAAAGCACAUUAAAAAAGGAUAGUGAGCAUCAUUAUGUCCUUCAUAUAGGCAGAAGAUCUACAGCAGAAAAAGGUUAAAUGACUUGCCAGAAGGCAAACAGAAAAGCAGAAGUAAGAGUGGAAGACAACCACCCACACGUCCAAGGAUAGUUUCUGUCCCUUAGUCAGUACUGUAGUUCUGAAAGGUAGGAAUAAGAAGUACUACAUAACCUCUUCUCCUCUGCAAGAUGUCUUUUCAUAACAUGGCUAAGUUUGGCUCUCAUUGCUCUCCCUUCUGCUUAGCUGAUACAGUUUCAACUUUUUUAACCAUAUGUGACAAGAACUAACCUUAACAUCUAUAGAAAUUGCUUAAGGAGCUUGUACUGGUGUUAUUAUAAGAGAAGAAUGUGGAAGAUCCCACUGUUGAGUCUCAUCUUUAACUGUACCCACAACAGUAGAUAAAAUCUCUUCCUAAGCUUAAUUGCCAUGGAAGGAAUAAAUACUUCGGAAAAACUAUUUUACCUAACACUUAAUGAUUUAAAUGAGUAUUUGCAGGCACCUAGAAGACAGCAGCAAAACAAAGAACAGUAAACAGUUUUUAAUUCUGAAGAAAUUUGCCUACUUUCUGUAACAAAAAGAGUAAUAGUAGAUGCUAUGUAUCCUGACUUUAAAGAAGGUUUUGGUAGUAUUUAAUGUGAUAUCCUCACAACUAGGGAAGUGGGACCUAGAUGAAAAAAUUAAAAGGUGGAAGCAAACUACUUGGGAAGCCAUAGUCUGAUAGUUCAUAGUUCAAUAUCAAGAUGGAAGGCUGUUUCAAGAAGAUUUCUGCAGUUGCCUGUCCAGCUCCAGGUAGGGAGGGACUGCCAGAGUGGUGGAAGACAGGCUUGGAGCUCAAAAUGAUUUUGAUAAAUUGGAGAAAUGACCUGGGGGGAAAACAAAAUAGGAUGAACUUCAGCAGGGACAAUUGCAAGGUACAAAGUUUAGGUAGGAAUAAUCGGCCAUGCAGAGGCAGACAGGGGAACAGCCAGGUAACUUGUCUACAGAAAGGAACCUGCAAAUUGUUGAGGAUAAAACCAGCAGUAAAUAUCAUUAUGCUGUUGAAAACCAGGAAAAGAUAUGCCAGGGUAUAUCAGCGGAUUUGGUUUAUAAGAUACAUGCAUCUUACAGAACAGGAAGAACCACAACUGCAAUACUGUGUUCAGUCUUGGGCGCUGCUCUUCAAGAACCAUUGAAAAGAGUCUAGAAUAGAACAAGGAAAAUUAAGAAGUCCGGAUAACUUGGUUUGCAGGGUAAAACUAUUUAGUUUAGAAAAGAGGAGUCUGAGAAACAUGAGAUUAAUCUUUAAAUAUGUUAAUGUCUAAUGCACAGAGGAAAAGAAUGAUCUGUUCCAUAUCUUUAUGACAGAUAUGACAAGAAGUAAUGGACUUCAUUUUCAGUAAGGAACCUUAAAGUUAAACAUUAGACAAUCUAUCUAUCAGGAAGGAAAGUGAAACUCUGCAACAACUGGCGUAAGGAUACUCCAUCACUGAAUGUGUCUCAGG